rnacentral:rRNA from 1 species
UACGUAGGGUGCAAGCGUUGUCCGGAAUUAUUGGGCGUAAAGAGCUUGUAGGCGGUUUGUCGCGUCUGCUGUGAAAUUUCGGGGCUCAACCCCGAACUUGCAGUGGGUACGGGCAGACUAGAGUGUGGUAGGGGGAGACUGGAAUUCCUGGUGUAGCGGUGAAAUGCGCAGAUAUCAGGAGGAACACCGAUGGCGAAGGCAGGUCUCUGGGCCUUACCUGACGCUCAGGUGCGAAAGCUAGGGGAGCGAACAGG